rnacentral:pre_miRNA from 1 species
CAGGGGGACUGAGGGUGAGCAAGCCCGGACCCCAGCCUGUGCUGACUCUCAGUCCCUCCCUA